CUCUACCCUCAGCAGUGAAACCACAAAGGUUGUUCUUGAUUUGCAAAGGAAGACAUCCAGCCACUACUUGAGCUGACUGCCUCAGAGUUUGAGCAGAAGGAGGCACCAUGUCUAAAGAAGACUCUUAAAGAAAAUAUGGCUGCUGUAUUUGGCCCAGAAACAUCCUCAUAGCUGCUGAUCAUCUCUGUCUCUUAAAGUGAUGAGAAAAGAUCAUCCUCAGAAAUCAGAAGUAUGCCUUACUAAGGCCAAGCAACAAAACACCAGCUUAAGUCAUUCUUCUCACAUCUCUGAAAAUAAAGUUGCUUCAAUUGAAUUUCAAGGACAAACAUCUUCAUGGACCAGCUUUUAUCCCUUGUCCCUUGGUUCAUCUGCCCUCUUGGGCAUUCUUGGUAAUU